UCCAGACUCCUACGGGAGGCAGCAGUGGGGAAUAUUGCACAAUGGGGGGAACCCUGAUGCAGCAACGCCGCGUGGGUGAAGAAGUAUUUCGGUAUGUAAAGCCCUCUCAGCAGGGAAGAAGAUGACGGUACCUGACUAAGAAGCCCCGGCUAAAUACGUGCCAGCAGCCGCGGUAAUACGUAUGGGGCAAGCGUUAUCCGGAUUUACUGGGUGUAAAGGGAGCGCAGGCGGCGCGGCAAGUCAGAUGUGAAAGCCCGGGGCUCAACCCCGGGACUGCAUUUGAAACUGCCGUGCUGGAGUGUCGGAGAGGCAAGUGGAAUUCCUAGUGUAGCGGUGAAUUGCGUAGAUAUUAGGAGGAACACCAGUGGCGAAGGCGGCUUGCUGGACGAUAACUGACGCUGAGGCUCGAAAGCGUGGGGAGCAAACAGGAUUAGAUACCCCCGUACU
rnacentral:rRNA from 1 species